rnacentral:rRNA from 1 species
UACGGAGGGGACUAGCGUUGUUCGGAAUUACUGGGCGUAAAGCGCACGUAGGCGGAUUUGUAAGUCAGGGUGAAAUCCCGGGGCUCAACCUCGGAACUGCCUUUGAUACUGCAAAUCUCGAGUCCGGAAGAGGUGAGUGGAAUUCCUAGUGUAGAGGUGAAAUUCGUAGAUAUUAGGAAGAACACCAGUGGCGAAGGCGGCUCACUGGUCCGGUACUGACGCUGAGGUGCGAAAGCGUGGGGAGCAACAGG